UACAGAGGUCCCAAGCGUUGUUCGGAUUCACUGGGCGUAAAGGGUGCGUAGGCGGUCGGGUAAGUCUGACGUGAAAUCUCCGGGCCUAACCCGGAAACUGCGUUGGAAACUGCCCGGCUAGAGGAAUGGAGGGGAGACUGGAAUACUUGGUGUAGCAGUGAAAUGCGUAGAUAUCAAGUGGAACACCAGUGGCGAAGGCGAGUCUCUGGACAUUUCCUGACGCUGAGGCACGAAAGCCAGGGGAGCAAACGGG
rnacentral:rRNA from 1 species